AGCUGUAAAUCAAAUUUAGUUUUUAUCCUUUCAUGGUGGGAGCUGGCCCAGAUGGCUGCCACAGCAAGCUCUGCUGCUCAUGGACCCUGUGUCCCCUGCACUGGGGACAUUUAUAACUCUUGGAACUC